ACAUAUAACUGGAUAUAAAUAGGACAAUGCCUGUCCCAUACUGUAAACAACACUGAAAUAAAAAGAUAAAAAGCAUCCACAAUCUGUUUUAUUUUAUCACUGUAUCAAACCCCACCAAACACAAGUUUCUGCUCAGAAGACUUUCCACCAAAACCUGGGGGUGAAGGAAGAGACACCUGAUCUUUGGAACAAUCUUAAACUUCAGUGAGAAAUAAGCACUAGUACAUGCUCACCCUGAAGGAAAGACUGCCAUUUGAAAAUGCUCUGAAGAAUCAUUUUGCUGCUCUUUUGUUUUUAGUGGAGACAUGUCCUUCUGACAUCUUCAUGAGAAAUUGUGGAUGCAACUUCAUGGUACCACAGGCAUUCAAGCAUUUUUACUUUAAAAACAACCAGAAAAUCUCAACCUGAUGUCUCUCGGUGACUCACGGCCAUUUAAGUUAUUGAAUGUUAUUGCCUCUCCUCUGCACCAGGAGCUCUGGGAAUCCCUUGCUUGAUGUAUUUGCAGUGACAAGUCCCCCGGUGGAAGACGAUGGCCGCCCUGUACUGAAGGCCCCCGCUGCAUUUGUAACCACAAGUGAAACUGCACAUGGACUGGUGGCUGUUCUGCCUGCAGUUCACAGGUCUUCAGAGUAAGACUCAGCUUACCACACGGAGUAAGCAAUGUGCCCCAACCACUCAGAUGCAUGUUAUUUGAGAAACUGUUAAGCCCUAAAUUUGCAAGAUACUUAUAUGUUGAAAUUGCAUCAUUUUAAGGAGAGGAGAAUCAUUGUAAUAAAAAUCUCAGUCACUCUUCACCAGUGAAGAUGAUGUCAAUCCUCACCACCUCUUCACCAGUGAAGACUACAGAAAACCAGAGGGUUGUGGGGACAUGGUAUGUUUUUGGUUUAUCUCCUCCUUCUGCUCACAUCAGAGAUGCAGUAAUAUGCGAGGGGUUAGAAUUUCUCCCUCUGACUUUUAGGCACUUGACCCAAUAAUGGUUUGGCAGAAGGAGCUUAAAGUCACUAGAGCUACAACGGUACUCAGCUUCUGUCUCUCACAUUUCAAGUAUGCUCUGUGCAUUUCCAGACUAUGGAAACCUUUAUGUUUUACUACCAAGCAGACAAACAACAUACUGUAGGCCCUAUUUUAUUUUUCCCCCAAAGCUAAGCAGUGUGCAUUUACGUGACAAGGCUCACCAGUAAUCCAUGGCAGGGAUGUGCAGUGGUUCCUCAAUGAGAAACAACCAACCUUUACUCCCCUGUCCCAGGGGCACAAGGAUAAGAGACGCAGGGCCUGGAAGAGCAGCAUCAGCCCAUCGAUCAUGAUGGCGAGGGCAGAGCAACGUGCACGCCCUUUCUCACAGCCGUGCUUCUCUUUUUCCCAGGGAGCAGCUCUGUGUCCCGGUCAGGCAGAUCUCUUGUAAUUUACAGAUCCCUCUGUCCUAGCUUUGACCCUUUCUUUGAAUGGUUGCAAGAUUAACAUUAAUUGUCCAAAUGACUACAAGCUAAGAACAUCAGAUGAAUUUAAGCAGUCAGCCAUCCGACAAAGAGAUUUUCAUCAAUAUUCACAGUACUUAAGAGUGCAACAGAGCAGAUAUGCAAAGUGAUACUGAUCUUAUUCUGGCAGUUGAGCACACACACUUUCAAGGAAGAGUGGAUUUGUCACACCAGCCAUGCUUUCUGUUGCAGGGUAAGGAUGUACAUGCUGAUAUACGGCAUAAGCUUUGUAUUGAUACAAACGUAUGGGAAGUUGAAAGACUAUAAUGCCAAUUGCUUACUUUUUUGAUUGGAGAUAAAAUUUAAAGAACAAAAUAUUUUCAAAGCUGGUCCAGAAUACUGGUAUUUUUGCUUGUUG